AGUGAACGCUGGCGGCGUGCCUAACACAUGCAAGUCGAGCGGCCAUCGGGUAGCAAUACUUGGUGGUAGCGGCGAACGGGUGAGUAACACGUGGGUAAUCUUCCCUCGAGUGAGGAAUAAGCUCUCGAAAGGGGGUCUAAUACCGCAUAAUAUUCCGGGACUUAUGUCUUCGGAAUCAAAGUCGUAAGACGCUUGAGGAUGAGCCUGCGGCCUAUUAGCUUGUUGGUAGGGUAAUGGCCUACCAAGGCUAGGAUGGGUAGCCGGCCUGAGAGGGUGAACGGCCACACUGGGACUGAGACACGGCCCAGACUCCUACGGGUGGCAG
rnacentral:rRNA from 1 species